GCACAGUGGUGUAGUUGUUAACACUGUUACCUGUUAGCAAACAGGUUCCGGGAUCGAUUCCCGGGUCUGGGUG